GUUUGAUCAUGGCUCAGAUUGAACGCUGGCGGCAUGCCUUACACAUGCAAGUCGAACGGCAGCACGGAGCUUGCUCUGGUGGCGAGUGGCGAACGGGUGAGUAAUAUAUCGGAACGUACCCUGGAGUGGGGGAUAACGUAGCGAAAGUUACGCUAAUACCGCAUACGAUCUAAGGAUGAAAGUGGGGGAUUCGUAAGAACCUCAUGCUCCUGGAGCGGCCGAUAUCUGAUUAGCUAGUUGGUAGGGUAAAAGCCUACCAAGGCAUCGAUCAGUAGCUGGUCUGAGAGGACGACCAGCCACACUGGAACUGAGACACGGUCCAGACUCCUACGGGAGGCAGCAGUGGGGAAUUUUGGACAAUGGGGGCAACCCUGAUCCAGCAAUGCCGCGUGAGUGAAGAAGGCCUUCGGGUUGUAAAGCUCUUUUGUCAGGGAAGAAACGGUGUGAGCUAAUAUCUCAUGCUAAUGACGGUACCUGAAGAAUAAGCACCGGCUAACUACGUGCCAGCAGCCGCGGUAAUACGUAGGGUGCAAGCGUUAAUCGGAAUUACUGGGCGUAAAGCGUGCGCAGGCGGUUUUGUAAGACUGUCGUGAAAUCCCCGGGCUCAACCUGGGAAUGGCGAUGGUGACUGCAAGGCUAGAGUUUGGCAGAGGGGGGUAGAAUUCCACGUGUAGCAGUGAAAUGCGUAGAUAUGUGGAGGAACACCGAUGGCGAAGGCAGCCCCCUGGGUCAAAACUGACGCUCAUGCACGAAAGCGUGGGGAGCAAACAGGAUUAGAUACCCUGGUAGUCCACGCCCUAAACGAUGUCUACUAGCUGUCGGGUUUUAAUUAACUUGGUAACGCAGCUAACGCGUGAAGUAGACCGCCUGGGGAGUACGGUCGC
rnacentral:rRNA from 1 species